rnacentral:lncRNA from 1 species
GGGAAUUCUAUAGAAGACACGUGAUGUUCCUAUCAUGGUGAGAUAAUCAUCCACUGAUGAUAUUCCCCUCAUGAGGUUCCCAAUAGUGGUGUACAUGGAUCAUUGUAACAUUCAUAGAGCUUCCAUCUUCGAGAGAAAAUGAUGAGGGCAACAUCAGCAUCAUAUAGCAUAGAGAGCUCAAAGGCCUUCUUCAAGAUGCAAUUUCUCCACUUAGAAAAGGUGAAUUUGUGAGUUAUGGAGUUUUCUAUUCGCUUCAUUUCAGUAUUUUCUUUGCACAUCUCCUGAAAGGUAGUUUAAAGUUGAAACUGUACAACUGCGAAAAACCACAUACACAACACACAAACACACAACAAGCUGAAAUACAACAAUAAAAAAUAUUGAAGAGACUGAAAGGAAUGAUAUUCAGAGAAUAAGCUAUGACCACAAUAGGCAAAUCAGGAAAAUCAUGAAGAGGCAAAACAAGGCAUAGAAACCAGAAAAAAUAUAAUGACAAUGAGCAAAAUAUAGACAAUCGAGAAUGAGGAAGUGGAUGUCUAUGUUUUAUUGAUUCUUAUUACAUAGCCCUUUUGUUUUGUAUUGUCUAUUUUUUUCCAUGACCUCUCGUAUUUAUUCUUUUGCUUUAUUUUCUACUCUCCAAUGGCCAAACACACAGGAUUUCCUCAUUCAUCUCACCUAUCUUUCCCUCAAAUUCGUCAAACCCUACCUAGAAAAAGAAACAAAUUAUUAUUAAACUUCAUAGGAUAACCUCAUCCUUCGGGACUUUUGGUAAAACCCACAACACCUACCAAAAAGAGAACAUUGGGUUUGAAGCUUGCACAACAAAAACUUCAAACAAUGGUAAGAUACUUACAUAAUAAGUUCUUUGCUUCUACAUUAGCAAAUUGGAAUUAAAUGCUAAUUUGGGUUUUGGAUCUAUGAGAGGGUUCACUAAGAACUUCAAUGAUCAAAUUCAAUUUUAAAUAGUAGAGUUUACUCAAUGCUAUGUGGUUGAUACAGAAAAGGCAAAAGUUGAGGCUUAGGAUUUAUUCAUUUCGCUAUUGUUGUUCUUUCAGAAAUCAAAAAGUUGUUUUAGAUGAUUUAUGUUUUUAGUUUGCUGUAAUGCUUAUUUGUUAUGUACUUUUUGUCUAAAUGUUGUUGAUUUUAUUAUACAUUACAUGUUUAGUGAACUUGUCAUUUUGAAAAUGUUUACAUGUCAUGAAAAUUAUUAAAUUGAAAGUUUUUUGUUUGAAACAUUUGGUGUGGGAUAAUAAAGGCAGUAACAAGUAUGUAUUUACUCUAAACCAGUCUUUCUGUAAUAGGACCUGCUAUAGCUCAUAAUAACACAUUUCAUCCAUUUAUGAUCUUGAUUUCAAUUAAAAAAUUUAUUACAUAUUUUCAUUUCAGUUAAAUUAUAGAGUCAGAACUAAACGGCAAAAUGAGUCUGUGAUGAUUGACUAUGUCAUUUAUAAAUUAUGUAACUAAUGUGCAUUCAUACUGAUUUUAUACCGAUUGUAAUUAGGUUUAUUGAAAUUAUGAUUCGGAAUUCUUGAAUAUGAAACAUUGGAAUUCAUAGUCUCUUCAUGAUUCAUUGUUCGAAAUCAUUUGUGUGAAUGAUAUGAGGUUCCACAAACUUUAAGUUCCAGAAAUGGAAAGCUUUGAAGUGGUAUUCCAUGUUGUUGUCAUUGAAUAUGGUUUUUGGGUUAACGAUUUAUGGAUAACCAAAUGAAUAUGCACUGCUCAUCUUUAGUAUUUAUGGAGGUUCCUUGAAGAAUAGAGCCCUAUUACAAAAGCUAUUAUGGAGGCUUCUUAAGUACAUCAAUACUUUAUGGCACACUAUCAUCUUUACUAUUUAUGGCCUACACUGUAAUACUAUUGUUAGGUAGUUAUAUUGGUGCCCUUACAAGGUCCUUACAUAGGUAUUUUGUGAUUUCACCAUUUUCACUUGGUUCUUAAUCAAUGAUGGCAAAAAAAUCUAGUUAAGGGCAUCUACUUUGCAUUGUUAUUAACCUUUCUAUGUUCAAUUUAGAAAUCUGUAUAUAGUUGUGAUUGAACCAAAUUUUUGUUCAUCUUCAUAUACAUAAAUACAAUUUGACUUCUCCCUUACUUCCUUUAUGUAGGUGAUCUUGUUCCAAAUCCAUUUGAAGUUG